UUUGGCGUGGUGUAUUGGCAUUUCAUGGUUUGGUCGUGGGGGUUGGUUAGUUUCCCGCCUUUUCUGU
rnacentral:tRNA from 1 species